rnacentral:piRNA from 1 species
UGGGAUCUUAGUAGAUGGCGUGGAGCCCC